UGAUUCGUGGUGUAAUGGUAACACACCAGAUUUUGGUUCUGGCGUUGGAGGUUCGAAUCCUUCCGGGUCAA
rnacentral:tRNA from 1 species